CUGGCACCUACCUCGCGCGACAUCAGGAGAUGAGACUUCACUGAAGAGGAUAUCUGCUGUCUGCGAUGUACUGGGCAUGUGGCUGCUGUUGCGCUUCAAACCUCCAAUUUUAAAUGUAUGCAUUGAUUUUUAUUUUUUUUUUUCAGGGGGGAGGGAGGAGAGAGGAGAGGAGGAGGAGGAGGAAAGGCAUGGCUCUAGAAAGAAGGAGAUUGGCCCUGAUCUGUAAGAGAAAUUACCAGAGAGUUGAUCUGCAGUAUGUGAAGUAACAUGAAGUACCUGUCCUAUUCUGGGCAGGCGGAGGAUUUAGCUGUUAUUUCCGAGGAUACUUUAGAAUGAGAAGAAACACGAAGUCUCCAGUGUUCAAUUAAGCUA
rnacentral:lncRNA from 1 species